GAUGAACGCUGGCGGCGUGCCUAAUACAUGCCAGUCGAGCGAACAGACGAGGAACUUGCUCCUCUGACGUUAGCGGCGGACGGGUGAGUAACACGUGGAUAACCUACCUAUAAGACUGGGAUAACUUCGGGAAACCGGAGCUAAUACCGGAUAAUAUAUUGAACCGCAUGGUUCAAUAGUGAAAGACGGUUUUGCUGUCACUUAUAGAUGGAUCCGCGCCGCAUUAGCUAGUUGGUAAGGUAACGGCUUACCAAGGCAACGAUGCGUAGCCGACCUGAGAGGGUGAUCGGCCACACUGGAACUGAGACACGGUCCAGACUCCUACGGGAGGCAGCAGUAGGGAAUCUUCCGCAAUGGGCGAAAGCCUGACGGAGCAACGCCGCGUGAGUGAUGAAGGUCUUCGGAUCGUAAAACUCUGUUAUUAGGGAAGAAUAAAUGUGUAAGUAACUAUGCACGUCUUGACGGUACCUAAUCAGAAAGCCACGGCUAACUACGUG
rnacentral:rRNA from 1 species